ensembl:snRNA U6 U6 spliceosomal RNA
AUGCUCACUUUGUCAACACACAUACUAAAAUUGGAAUAAUACAGAGAUGAUUAGCAUGGCCCUCUUCAAGAAUUACAAGCAAAUUCAUGAGACAUUUCAUGUUUUU